CCAGUUGGGACUGUAGCUUCCCAUAUAGCUGGGAUGUAGCUUCCCAUAUAGCUGUGCACCUUUGUGCACAACCUUUAUUGGUUGAGAUGGGGUCUCUUGGACUUUUUGCCUGGGCUGGCCUGGAACCUCAGUCCUCCUAAUAAUCUCUUCCUCCCUAGUAGCUAGGAUGACAGGUGUGAGUUACCAUACCCAGCUUGACCUGUCUACUUUCAAGUUGAUUUUAGAUAGAAGCUUUUUAGUGUGAAGAGUCAGAAUAUGAAAUAGGAAAAGACUACACAACUAAAAACCUCAAGCUUUUUUGUGACUAUUAGGUGUUUUUCUGCCAUAUUUAAUUAGCUAUUUUUUGUUUUGAGGCAGGGUCUUGCUAUGUUCUGGGAUUACAGGCAUGUACCAUCAUGCCUGGCUAAUUAACUGUGUUUUAUAUUUCAUAUGUAAGUUGUAUUUUGUAUGCUGAAAGGAGUAAUGUCGAAUUUGUGCAGAUGUUUGGAAAGCGAACUUGAUAAAAUUUGAAAGAAAUCGUUCCUAUUCCCUGUCUCCUUCACCUGUAUCUCUUAUUUCCUGUAUUUGUAUAUAGGUGUAUAAUAAAUUCUGUACUACACUAAGCUGAAGUUGAUUGAAACAAGCACUGUGAAUAGCCAAGAGAACUAUUAACCACUCUGGAUGUAACCUGAGUUGUUGUUUUCAUCUCAGGAUGGUCUACUCUGAAUUUGAACGUAUUGGAGUCUGAGAGUCCCCUGGUUGUUCCUGACAGGCUGGCUGGCUUUGCUUCAUCCAGAUUAUUUAUCGGUGGUGUUAAACAGGAUGUUGAAUGCAUCUGGCAGUAGAAAAAAAUAUAGUGGCACCAUGGUGUAGAGCAUCGAAGAAUCCAUAUUGUGACAACACAUCAAAAUAAAUUGCUGUCAACAGACCAAAACACCAAGUGCUGUGAUUCUGUCUGACGUGUGAAGAUUCAGACAGGCUGUCUUGACGAGUUGUGGUGGAGCACCUGCGUUUGACAGAAUACAGUGAUAUAAAUCUGAUCUGCCUGAUACGAAGCACCUAGAUAGAGUUAAUGCUGGUGACAAUAAGU
rnacentral:lncRNA from 1 species